CCUCGAAUCAGGUGGGACUACCCGCUGAACUUAAGCAUAUCAAUAAGCGGAGGAAAAGAAACUAACAAGGAUUCCCCUAGUAACGGCGAGUGAAGCGGGAUGAGCUCAAAUUUAAAAUCUGAUAGUCUUUGGCUGUCCGAGUUGUAAUCUAGAGAGGUGUUUUCCGCGUUGGACCAUGUACAAGUUUCCUGGAACGGAACGUCAUAGAGGGUGAGAAUCCCGUCCUUGACAUGGACUACCAGUGCUUUGUGAUACACUCUCAACGAGUCGAGUUGUUUGGGAUUGCAGCUCAAAAUGGGAGGUAAAUUCCUUCUAAAGCUAAAUAUUGGCGAGAGACCGAUAGCGAACAAGUACCGUGAGGGAAAGAUGAAAAGCACUUUGGAAAGAGAGUUAAACAGUACGUGAAAUUGUUAAAAGGGAAACGAUUGAAGUCAGUCGCGUUUACUUGGACUCAGCCUUACCUCGGUUUGGUGCAUUCCUGAUGAACGGGCCAGCGUCAAUGUUGUCCGUUGGAAAAGGGUUGGAGAAAUGUGGCUCUUUCGGGAGUGUUAUAGUCUCUGAUCGUAUACUACGGCUGAUGUUGAGUGGUACAGCAUGCUUCGGCGGUGCUUGUGCUGGC
rnacentral:rRNA from 1 species